CUGCGGGUCUCUGUGUCUAAUCUUUCUUCUGUCUCUCAUUGCCCAUUAGCCGUGAUUUUGCUGUGGCAAACACUAGCGCACACUGUAUGAUUCGCCCCUCCACAGGUUUCGCGUUAGUGGCGCUGAAACACCCUUCCCUACCUGCUUCGCCCUUCCCCAAUUUUUCCCACAGUAUUUGAGCUGCAGU
rnacentral:lncRNA from 1 species